rnacentral:rRNA from 1 species
UGGAUUGGCAUGGGCGCAGCCUGAUCCAGCCAUGCCGCGUGAGUGAUGAAGGCCUUCGGGUUGUAAAGCUCUUUCAGCCGGGAAGAUAUUGACGGUACCCGUUUCUAAACCCCUGCCAGUUUCGUGCCAUCAGCCCCGGGCUUACUAUAUGCCAGCAGCCGCGGUAAUAAGGGGGGGGAAAAAGGGGGGAGGGUUAGGGAAGGGGGGCCACCCAAUUUU